UCUAGUACAUAUAACCCAACCCGAUGGGGGAACAUGAACAGAGAACCAAGGGGUACGGGUGCGGCCGAACCUUUACAUUUAGGUUGGAGGUCCAAACGACAUUAACCUGCUGAUCAGCCUCAAGCCUGACGCAUCAACCAGGGGCAAAUGAACUACUACAGCUCAAAUGGGGUACCCCUGCACGUCAAGCCUGAGCUCCACACAUGAUCACCAACACAAUAUACUGUUGGUUACUCCUUCCAUCCAUCUCCUGCUGUUCUUCUC